UCGACCUGAGCUCAGGCAAGAUUACCCGCUGAACUUAAGCAUA
rnacentral:rRNA from 1 species